GUUCAUGUUUAACUUGUAUUGAAGAAUUCACCACGUAUUGGAGGUUUCACCCUCUCUGCUGUUUUUGUAUUUUGUACUUUUUGUAUUUCUUGAAGCCCGUUCCACUUUCGCGGCCGAGAAGUUUCAUCCUGGUUCAUUCAAGAUGGAGAACCAGGUACCACCAAAUUUGUUAUUUCAAAUUUUCAGCUACCUGCCUGAAAGAGACCUCCUGCAUGUCCGAGGAGUGUGCAGGAGGUGGCGUAAAUUGGGAUCAAGCCCUAUAGUGUGGAGGGAGAGGGCAAUCGUCGAUGUCAUGCUAGAGAGAGAUCUCUUUGAGGCCGUACUUAGAGUGGCGCCAGUUGUGGCCACUAUUAGUUUGAAUUUGCCAGAAGGUAUGAUACCGGGCCUACUCACUACCUUCUGUGCUGCCAAGAGGCUGUCAUUUUCAGUGUGGAAUAACGUCGCCAUCGACUGUUGCCAAAUUCUGAGACGUCAGCUGGAACUGGGCAGCCUAGAAAGUAUCCACAUGCACAUGCAUGGGGAACCGAUGAGCUUUGCCCCCUUUAUGGAAAUGCUGCAGGGCACCAGGAUCAGGGAAAUAUCCUUGCAGAACUACAGGCCACCUAUUGGAGGUCAACUUCCGCCCAGCGCCCCUGUCAGCUCUUUAAAGGAGCUUCGCGCAGAUACUCGUAAACCAGAUAGGCAUGUCCAGUUCCUUUUAUUUUCUCACAGGAAAACCCUCCAGAUGGUUUCCCUGCCUCUCUGCAUACCCACUCCCAUGGCAAUCCUAUCUCUUGCAAGUGAGCUGCAACAGCUGGAAUGUCCCCCACAAGUGGAUAUGGAGCUUCUUUUGAAGUGCCCCAAGUUGAGGUCUGUAACCAUAAAGAUGGAGCGAAGGGGGACAGUCAUCGAAGAGAGGCAUGUUGAGCGCGCACGGAGUGCCAUCUCAGCGACUGCCCAGUUCCUAGCCAAGGCAACGCAGCUCCAUGAGUAUUCACUUUAUCCAGAGGAGACCUUUGAUUCUCGGGAGAGCUCUGAUUCUGAGGAGACCUCCGAUUCUGAGGAGACUUCUGGUUCUAAGGAGAAAGUGGUCAGGACUCUAACAAUGGCUCCAGUUGCAUGCAAUGACUCGGCAUUGGAGAAAGUGAAGCUCAACAUGUUGGCACAGGACGCAGGUUCAGAGCCUGUUGCGUUGUAACAGGCAUUUGCACAUUUUAGUAAAAUGUAAUAGUCAUUGCCAUGAAGAUCCCCCUUGCCGUUUUUGCAGAUCAGACUGCCACAACCAACUGAAGUCUAGACACAAUGACUUAGUAGGGAUAUUUGCCCAUCCCCCGAAUGUGUGCGAUCUAGAGGAACACCAAGGAAGUUACUUUUGGGUGAAGAUGUAAAUUAUAGCUUGAAGAUGUAAAUAUGUUGUUUCUAUUUGUUUUAAUUUUGGUAAAUGAUAUGAGGUUCUCUAGUUUGCACUAUAGUCUCUUAAGGUUUGUUGAAGCCUCUUGUGUUUAUUUGGAAUUGAGUAUUAUGAGAAUCGGUAUUACGUUUCAGUGUUGUUAAACAGUGAGACAUAAUAUUUUGAUUACCGAUACAUUUUGACUUUAAAUCAUUUUGUGAACAGACUUAGUGUAUUGAGGUUUGCAUGAAGUGAAGAUGGAGCUUUGUACUAACACUUCACCCUUCUACAAAGAUCUUUUCCUUUUGUAUUAAUUCUUUUUUGUUCAGGACGUAGCCUCUUACGCUUUGUGUAAGCCUCUUUUGGAUAUUUGAAAUUGAGUAUUAUGAUUAUUGUGUUUUUGUAUUGUUUAAUUUUAUUAUUGUUUUGGAAAUGGUAGCCU
rnacentral:misc_RNA from 1 species